CCUUUCUCACUGAUUAGCUUUUCAGGAAAUUUUUUGGACUUGAACCGGCUUAAAGUGAAUCUAGCUUUCAUUUGAGGAAAGAAAAAGAAAGAGUCCCGCCUUCUGGCCUUCUCUAGACCUUUACCCUUGUCUAAAAGAUCCCACCACUUGCUUAUUUGCUUGGCUCAUUUCAAUACUUCUGCUUGAAAAUUUACCUUAAGAAUUUACCUAGCCUGGAGAUCGAAGGGAUGAUAGGAAAGAAAGCACUGUAAGAUCAGUAGCUCGAUAAGGGGAUUAUAGAAGACUGGGCCAACACUCACCUUAUUUAAACUAUUAAGAACUUGAAGUUAGAUAGGGUAAGAGAAUAAAGCAUAUUCAAUAGGAGCAGAAAGCGUAGUCCCUCCAUUCUAUAUAGGUAUAAGGUAUUCCAGUAUUAUUCUAAAGUUGCCUAUUAGAGUAAUUCUAGAACUGCAUCGAAAGAAACUCGCCCCACACUUCAACUCAAACUAAAACCUCGGGAAGGGAUAAAGGGUUACGACUUAAAGGUAGAGGGUGCGCGCUUUCCUUAUCUUACUUACUUGACUUCUCUAACUCUUUUCUUUCCUUUGAGUAGAUGGGGGG
rnacentral:lncRNA from 1 species